rnacentral:rRNA from 1 species
UUUGAAUCUGGCGGUCUCAGGCCGUCCGAGUUGUAAUCUAGAGAGGUGUUUUCCGUGCCGGACCGUGUACAAGUCCCUUGGAACAGGGCGUCAUAGAGGGUGAGAAUCCCGUCCAUGACACGGACUCCCGGUGCUCUGUGAUACACCUUCAAAGAGUCGAGUUGUUUGGGAAUGCAGCUCAAAAUGGGUGGUAAAUUCCAUCUAAAGCUAAAUACAGGCGAGAGACCGAUAGCGAACAAGUACCGUGAGGGAAAGAUGAAAAGAACUUUGGAAAGAGAGUUAAACAGUACGUGAAAUUGUUGAAAGGGAAACGCUUGAAGUCAGUCGCGUCUGCCGGGACUCAGCCUUGCUUUUGCUUGGUGCACUUCUCGGUGGAUGGGCCAGCAUCGAUUUUGAUCGCCGGAAAAGGGUGGGAGGAAUGUGGCAGCUUGCUGUGUUAUAGCCUCCUAUCGUACACGGUGGUUGGGAUCGAGGAU